rnacentral:rRNA from 1 species
GAGUUUGAUCAUGGCUCAGGAUGAACGCUGGCGGCGUGCCUAAUACAUGCAAGUCGAGCGAACAGACAAGGAGCUUGCUCCUUUGACGUUAGCGGCGGACGGGUGAGUAACACGUGGGUAACCUACCUAUAAGACUGGGAUAACUUCGGGAAACCGGAGCUAAUACCGGAUAAUAUUUCGAACCGCAUGGUUCGAUAGUGAAAGAUGGUUUUGCUAUCACUUAUAGAUGGACCCGCGCCGUAUUAGCUAGUUGGUAAGGUAACGGCUUACCAAGGCGACGAUACGUAGCCGACCUGAGAGGGUGAUCGGCCACACUGGAACUGAGACACGGUCCAGACUCCUACGGGAGGCAGCAGUAGGGAAUCUUCCGCAAUGGGCGAAAGCCUGACGGAGCAACGCCGCGUGAGUGAUGAAGGUCUUCGGAUCGUAAAACUCUGUUAUUAGGGAAGAACAUACGUGUAAGUAACUAUGCACGUCUUGACGGUACCUAAUCAGAAAGCCACGGCUAACUACGUGCCAGCAGCCGCGGUAAUACGUAGGUGGCAAGCGUUAUCCGGAAUUAUUGGGCGUAAAGCGCGCGUAGGCGGUUUCUUAAGUCUGAUGUGAAAGCCCACGGCUCAACCGUGGAGGGUCAUUGGAAACUGGGAAACUUGAGUGCAGAAGAGGAAAGUGGAAUUCCAUGUGUAGCGGUGAAAUGCGCAGAGAUAUGGAGGAACACCAGUGGCGAAGGCGACUUUCUGGUCUGUAACUGACGCUGAUGUGCGAAAGCGUGGGGAUCAAACAGGAUUAGAUACCCUGGUAGUCCACGCCGUAAACGAUGAGUGCUAAGUGUUAGGGGGUUUCCGCCCCUUAGUGCUGCAGCUAACGCAUUAAGCACUCCGCCUGGGGAGUACGACCGCAAGGUUGAAACUCAAAGGAAUUGACGGGGACCCGCACAAGCGGUGGAGCAUGUGGUUUAAUUCGAAGCAACGCGAAGAACCUUACCAAAUCUUGACAUCCUUUGACAACUCUAGAGAUAGAGCCUUCCCCUUCGGGGGACAAAGUGACAGGUGGUGCAUGGUUGUCGUCAGCUCGUGUCGUGAGAUGUUGGGUUAAGUCCCGCAACGAGCGCAACCCUUAAGCUUAGUUGCCAGCAUUAAGUUGGGCACUCUAAGUUGACUGCCGGUGACAAACCGGAGGAAGGUGGGGAUGACGUCAAAUCAUCAUGCCCCUUAUGAUUUGGGCUACACACGUGCUACAAUGGACAAUACAAAGGGCAGCUAAACCGCGAGGUCAUGCAAAUCCCAUAAAGUUGUUCUCAGUUCGGAUUGUAGUCUGCAACUCGACUACAUGAAGCUGGAAUCGCUAGUAAUCGUAGAUCAGCAUGCUAC